CGUGGGAGCGAGCCUGCUCGCGAUGCAGGCGACGCGUUCUUUCAACGAAGCCGUGUCGAUUCAAUCGCGAGCAGGCUCGCUCCCACU
rnacentral:misc_RNA from 1 species